UAACACGGGGGGAGCAAGCGUUGUUCGGAAUCACUGGGCGUAAAGGGCGUGUAGGCGGUCAAGUAAGUGGGGUGUGAAAGCCCCCGGCUCACCCGGGGAUCUGCAUUCCAAACUGCUUGGCUUGAGUACGGGAGAGGAUGAGGGAAUUCCUGGUGUAGCGGUGAAAUGCGUAGAUAUCAGGAGGAACACCGGUGGCGAAGGCGCUCAUCUGGCCCGAUACUGACGCUGAGGCGCGAAAGCUAGGGGAGCAAACGGGAUUAGAUACCCCGGUAGUCCUAGCCGUAAACGGUGAGCACUAGGUGUUGGAGGCAUCGACCCCUCCAGUGCCGCAGCUAACGCAUUAAGUGCUCCGCCUGGGGAGUACGGCCGCAAGGUUG
rnacentral:rRNA from 1 species